GCCUUCGUAGCUCAGGUGUUAGAGCACUGGUCCCGUAAACCAGGGGUCGAGAUUUUGAUUCUCUCCGAGGGCA
rnacentral:tRNA from 1 species